rnacentral:rRNA from 1 species
AGUCGAACGAGUUCUYGUUGAUGAUCGGUGCUUGCACCGAGAUUCAACAUGGAACGAGUGGCGGACGGGUGAGUAACACGUGGGUAACCUGCCCUUAAGUGGGGGAUAACAUUUGGAAACAGAUGCUAAUACCGCAUAGAUCCAAGAACCGCAUGGUUCUUGGCUGAAAGAUGGCGUAAGCUAUCGCUUUUGGAUGGACCCGCGGCGUAUUAGCUAGUUGGUGAGGUAAUGGCUCACCAAGGCGAUGAUACGUAGCCGAACUGAGAGGUUGAUCGGCCACAUUGGGACUGAGACACGGCCCAAACUCCUACGGGAGGCAGCAGUAGGGAAUCUUCCACAAUGGACGCAAGUCUGAUGGAGCAACGCCGCGUGAGUGAAGAAGGCUUUCGGGUCGUAAAACUCUGUUGUUGGAGAAGAAUGGUCGGCAGAGUAACUGUUGUCGGCGUGACGGUAUCCAACCAGAAAGCCACGGCUAACUACGUGCCAGCAGCCGCGGUAAUACGUAGGUGGCAAGCGUUAUCCGGAUUUAUUGGGCGUAAAGCGAGCGCAGGCGGUUUUUUAAGUCUGAUGUGAAAGCCCUCGGCUUAACCGAGGAAGCGCAUCGGAAACUGGGAAACUUGAGUGCAGAAGAGGACAGUGGAACUCCAUGUGUAGCGGUGAAAUGCGUAGAUAUAUGGAAGAACACCAGUGGCGAAGGCGGCUGUCUGGUCUGUAACUGACGCUGAGGCUCGAAAGCAUGGGUAGCGAACAGGAUUAGAUACCCUGGUAGUCCAUGCCGUAAACGAUGAAUGCUAGGUGUUGGAGGGUUUCCGCCCUUCAGUGCCGCAGCUAACGCAUUAAGCAUUCCGCCUGGGGAGUACGACCGCAAGGUUGAAACUCAAAGGAAUUGACGGGGGCCCGCACAAGCGGUGGA